rnacentral:rRNA from 1 species
UAACGCGUGGAUAACCUGCCGUAUACCGGGGGAUAACACUUAGAAAUAGGUGCUAAUACCGCAUAAGCGCACGGCUCCGCAUGGGGCAGUGUGAAAAACUCCGGUGGUAUACGAUGGAUCCGCGUCUGAUUAGCUAGUUGGCGGGGUAACGGCCCACCAAGGCGACGAUCAGUAGCCGGCCUGAGAGGGUGGACGGCCACAUUGGGACUGAGACACGGCCCAAACUCCUACGGGAGGCAGCAGUGGGGGAUAUUGGACAAUGGGGGGAACCCUGAUCCAGCGACGCCGCGUGAGUGAAGAAGUAUUUCGGUAUGUAAAGCUCUGUCAGCAGGGAAGAAAGAAAUGACGGUACCUGACCAAGAAGCCCCGGCUAACUACGUGCCAGCAGCCGCGGUAAUACGUAGGGGGCAAGCGUUAUCCGGAUUUACUGGGUGUAAAGGGAGCGUAGACGGCUAAUCAAGUCAGAAGUGAAAACCCAGGGCUCAACCUUGGGAGUGCUUUUGAAACUGAGUAGCUAGAGUGCAGGAGAGGUAAGCGGAAUUCCUAGUGUAGCGGUGAAAUGCGUAGAUAUUAGGAGGAACACCAGUGGCGAAGGCGGCUUACUGGACUGUAACUGACGUUGAGGCUCGAAAGCGUGGGGAGCAAACAGGAUUAGAUACCCUGGUAGUCCACGCCGUAAACGAUGAUUACUAGGUGU